rnacentral:rRNA from 1 species
GACGAACGCUGGCCGUGUGCUUAACACAUGCAAGUCGAACGGAAAGGCCCUGCUUUUGUGGGGUGCUCGAGUGGCGAAAGGGUGAGUAACACGUGAGUAACCUGCCUUUGACUUUGGGAUAACUUCAGGUAACUGGGGCUAAUACCGGAUCGGAGCUCCUGCUGCAUGUUGGGGGUUGGAAAGUUUCGGCGGGUUGGGAUGGACUCGCGGCGUAUCAGCUUUUUGGUGGGGUAGUGGCUUACCAAGGCUUUGACGGGUAGCCGGCCUGAGAGGGUGACCGGCCACAUUGGGACUGAGAUACGGCCCAGACUCCUACGGGAGGCAGCAGUGGGGAAUAUUGCACAAUGGGCGGAAGCCUGAUGCAGCAACGCCGCGUGCGGGAUGACGGCCUUCGGGUUGUAAACCGCUUUCGCCUGUGACGAAGCGUGAGUGACGGUAAUGGGUAAAGAAGCACCGGCUAACUACGUG